GUGACUGCGUACCUUUUGUAUAAUGGGUCAGCGACUUAUAUUCUGUAGCAAGGUUAACCGAAUAGGGGAGCCGAAGGGAAACCGAGUCUUAACCGGGCGUUAAGUUGCAGGGUAUAGACCCGAAACCCGGUGAUCUAGCCAUGGGCAGGUUGAAGGUUGGGUAACACUAACUGGAGGACCGAACCGACUAAUGUUGAAAAAUUAGCGGAUGACUUGUGGCUGGGGGUGAAAGGCCAAUCAAACCGGGAGAUAGCUGGUUCUCCCCGAAAGCUAUUUAGGUAGCGCCUCGUGAAUUCAUCUCCGGGGGUAGAGCACUGUUUCGGCAAGGGGGUCAUCCCGACUUACCAACCCGAUGCAAACUGCGAAUACCGGAGAAUGUUAUCACGGGAGACACACGGCGGGUGCUAACGUCCGUCGUGAAGAGGGAAACAACCCAGACCGCCAGCUAAGGUCCCAAAGUCAUGGUUAAGUGGGAAACGAUGUGGGAAGGCCCAGACAGCCAGGAUGUUGGCUUAGAAGCAGCCAUCAUUUAAAGAAAGCGUAAUAGCUCACUGGUCGAGUCGGCCUGCGCGGAAGAUGUAACGGGGCUAAACCAUGCACCGAAGCUGCGGCAGCGACACUGUGUGUUGUUGGGUAGGGGAGCGUUCUGUAAGCCUGUGAAGGUGUACUGUGAGGUAUGCUGGAGGUAUCAGAAGUGCGAAUGCUGACAUAAGUAACGAUAAAGCGGGUGAAAAGCCCGCUCGCCGGAAGACCAAGGGUUCCUGUCCAACGUUAAUCGGGGCAGGGUGAGUCGACCCCUAAGGCGAGGCCGAAAGGCGUAGUCGAUGGGAAACAGGUUAAUAUUCCUGUACUUGGUGUUACUGCGAAGGGGGGACGGAGAAGGCUAUGUUGGCCGGGCGACGGUUGUCCCGGUUUAAGCGUGUAGGCUGGUUUUCCAGGCAAAUCCGGAAAAUCAAGGCUGAGGCGUGAUGACGAGGCACUACGGUGCUGAAGCAACAAAUGCCCUGCUUCCAGGAAAAGCCUCUAAGCAUCAGGUAACAUCAAAUCGUACCCCAAACCGACACAGGUGGUCAGGUAGAGAAUACCAAGGCGCUUGAGAGAACUCGGGUGAAGGAACUAGGCAAAAUGGUGCCGUAACUUCGGGAGAAGGCACGCUGAUAUGUAGGUGAAGUCCCUCGCGGAUGGAGCUGAAAUCAGUCGAAGAUACCAGCUGGCUGCAACUGUUUAUUAAAAACACAGCACUGUGCAAACACGAAAGUGGACGUAUACGGUGUGACGCCUGCCCGGUGCCGGAAGGUUAAUUGAUGGGGUCAGCGCAAGCGAAGCUCUUGAUCGAAGCCCCGGUAAACGGCGGCCGUAACUAUAACGGUCCUAAGGUAGCGAAAUUCCUUGUCGGGUAAGUUCCGACCUGCACGAAUGGCGUAAUGAUGGCCAGGCUGUCUCCACCCGAGACUCAGUGAAAUUGAACUCGCUGUGAAGAUGCAGUGUACCCGCGGCAAGACGGAAAGACCCCGUGAACCUUUACUAUAGCUUGACACUGAACAUUGAGCCUUGAUGUGUAGGAUAGGUGGGAGGCUUUGAAGUGUGGACGCCAGUCUGCAUGGAGCCGACCUUGAAAUACCACCCUUUAAUGUUUGAUGUUCUAACGUGGACCCGUGAUCCGGGUUGCGGACAGUGUCUGGUGGGUAGUUUGACUGGGGCGGUCUCCUCCUAAAGAGUAACGGAGGAGCACGAAGGUUGGCUAAUCCUGGUCGGACAUCAGGAGGUUAGUGCAAUGGCAUAAGCCAGCUUGACUGCGAGCGUGACGGCGCGAGCAGGUGCGAAAGCAGGUCAUAGUGAUCCGGUGGUUCUGAAUGGAAGGGCCAUCGCUCAACGGAUAAAAGGUACUCCGGGGAUAACAGGCUGAUACCGCCCAAGAGUUCAUAUCGACGGCGGUGUUUGGCACCUCGAUGUCGGCUCAUCACAUCCUGGGGCUGAAGUAGGUCCCAAGGGUAUGGCUGUUCGCCAUUUAAAGUGGUACGCGAGCUGGGUUUAGAACGUCGUGAGACAGUUCGGUCCCUAUCUGCCGUGGGCGCUGGAGAACUGAGGGGGGCUGCUCCUAGUACGAGAGGACCGGAGUGGACGCAUCACUGGUGUUCGGGUUGUCAUGCCAAUGGCACUGCCCGGUAGCUAAAUGCGGAAGAGAUAAGUGCUGAAAGCAUCUAAGCACGAAACUUGCCCCGAGAUGAGUUCUCCCUGACCCUUUAAGGGUCCUGAAGGAACGUUGAAGACGACGACGUUGAUAGGCCGGGUGUGUAAGCGCAGCGAUGCGUUGAGCUAACCGGUACUAAUGAACCGUGAGGCUUAACCUU
rnacentral:rRNA from 1 species